rnacentral:rRNA from 1 species
UACGAAGGGGCUAGCGUUGUUCGGAAUCACUGGGCGUAAAGGGCGCGUAGGCGGCCGAUCAAGUCGGGGGUGAAAGCCUGUGGCUCAACCACAGAAUUGCCUUCGAUACUGUUUGGCUUGAGACCGGAAGAGGUUAGUGGAACUGCGAGUGUAGAGGUGAAAUUCGUAGAUAUUCGCAAGAACACCAGUGGCGAAGGCGGCUGACUGGCCGGUUCGUGACGCUGAGGCGCGAAAGCGUGGGGAGCAAACAGG